UCACUCUUGUUCUUGUUCUUCCUUUCUUUUUCAUUUUCACUCAACACAACACACAUGCACGCACUCCUUUCCCUCACUCUCCCACCAGUAUACUCCUCAUCACCUCCACCAUUUUUUUUUUCUGGCAAGAUCACUGGAAAACCCUCAAGAACAUCACACCUUCACAUAAGUUGUUUGAGGCAACUAUCGUUUUGAGAUAGCUUUUUGGUGGCUAGCAGUGGUUAGACUAACUGUUGAUGGAGGUUGACUUUUGUGAUGAAGAUAAAUAAUGAUGUAUAACUUAGAGUAGGCUUGACUCAAUUCUUUUGUAUCUAAUAGUGGUUAUGACUUUAUUUCCACUAAUGGGACAAGUUGAUGUUAUGUAAUUAUUUUAUUCAGAUC